CAGUAGCCGCGGGAAUACGUAGGGUGCGAGCGUUAAUCGGAAUUACUGGGCGUAAAGCGUGCGCAGGCGGUUAUAUAAGACAGAUGUGAAAUCCCCGGGCUCAACCUGGGACCUGCAUUUGUGACUGUAUAGCUAGAGUACGGUAGAGGGGGAUGGAAUUCCGCGUGUAGCAGUGAAAUGCGUAGAUAUGCGGAGGAACACCGAUGGCGAAGGCAAUCCCCUGGACCUGUACUGACGCUCAUGCACAAAAGCGUGGGGAGCAAACAGGAUUAGAUACCCCCGUAGUCCCUGUCUCUUAUAC
rnacentral:rRNA from 1 species